GACGAACGCUGGCGGCGUGCCUAAUACAUGCAAGUAGAACGCUGAAGGAGGAGCUUGCUUCUCUGGAUGAGUUGCGAACGGGUGAGUAACGCGUAGGUAACCUGCCUGGUAGCGGGGGAUAACUAUUGGAAACGAUAGCUAAUACCGCAUAAGAGUAGAUGUUGCAUGACAUUUGCUUAAAAGGUGCAAUUGCAUCACUACCAGAUGGACCUGCGUUGUAUUAGCUAGUUGGUGGGGUAACGGCUUACCAAGGCGACGAUACAUAGCCGACCUGAGAGGGGGGUCGGCCACACUGGGACUGAGACACGGCCCAGACUCCUACGGGAGGCAGCAGUAGGGAAUCUUCGGCAAUGGACGGAAGUCUGACCGAGCAACGCCGCGUGAGUGAAGAAGGUUUUCGGAUCGUAAAGCUCUGUUGUAAGAGAAGAACGAGUGUGAGAGUGGAAAGUUCACACUGUGACGGUAUCUUACCAGAAAGGGACGGCUAACUACGUG
rnacentral:rRNA from 1 species